UGACCUUAAAAAAAAACCACUAGGGUAUUAUUUUCUUUGUCCAAAGCAACUCUGAGACCUCUCCUCUGAUGAAGCCCCUACCGAAUCAAGGUCUGUAUAGCUGUCUCCUUUGGGUUUUCACCUCUGCCACAGACAAACCAAAUCAGCCAACAAACCACACCUUUGUCACCAGUGAGGGCGUCAUCUCUCCAGAAUCGUAUUUGAUCAGAAGCGUUCACCUGUGAGCUAAAUGAGCCUUGGAUCCGGAACACAGAUCACGGUCAUGCUGGAGGUUGUAAAGCUGCCGUCAGGAGAAGGGAAGGAGGGGCUGGCUGGCCUGCUGUGUGGCAUGUUGUGGAUUUCAUGGCUUCAUCAUCAUCCCGUUGGUCCCAAAGAAGAUUAGCAAGCUGAUAAACACUCAUCUACACCAGGGUGUUACGGGAUGUCUUUCUGGAUGUUGUGAAUAUGUGGGGCUCCCAUUGGAUAAUAAAUAAAGCUGUUUUGGCCUGUGGCAAAAAAGCUUACAGCCAGGUGGGAAAUCUAAACAGACACAGAGAGAGAAGGGCAGAGUGGGGAGAGACACAAGCCCACCGCAAAAGGAGCAACAAGAUGCCACAGCCA